rnacentral:rRNA from 1 species
UAGUAAUCGCAGAUCAGCAUGCUGCGGUGAAUACGUUCCCGGGCCUUGUACACACCGCCCGUCACACCAUGGGAGUCGGUAACACCCGAAGCCUGUAGUCUGACCUUUUGGAGGACGCAGUCGAAGGUGGGAUCGAUGACUGGGGUGAAGUCGUAACAAGGUACC